CACGUAGGGAGCAAGCGUUGUCCGGAUUUAUUGGGCGUAAAGAGCUCGUAGGCUGUUCGAUAAGUCGGGUGUGAAACCUCCAGGCUCAACCUGGAGACGCCACCCGAUACUGUCAUGACUAGAGUCCGGUAGGGGAGCGUGGAAUUCCUGGUGUAGCGGUGAAAUGCGCAGAUAUCAGGAGGAACACCGAUGGCGAAGGCAGGUCUCUGGGCCGAUACUGACGCUGAGGAGCGAAAGCGUGGGGAGCGAACAGG
rnacentral:rRNA from 1 species